UCCUCUCAGCAUCCAGCAGUUUCUGCC
rnacentral:piRNA from 1 species